AAAACCUCAAAACCUUAACUCGAGGAACCAAACCCAACCAACAAUACUGUACAUACUAUAGUGUUGUUCCUAUAAAUACAUUCAUCAGUGUUUUAACGACUCAUUUUAUUUUGUGUUUCAUUUCAUUUCAUUUUCACUUUGUUAGCUCCGUCUUUCUUUAGAUCUCAGAUCUCUCUGUUUCCAAUGGCUUCCAUCACCACAACCUCCAUGUCCCUCCUCUCCCUCUCCGACCAAUCUAUGGUAUGCUGCAAUAACCCCUUUUUAUCGAUUAAUUAAUCACCCUUGUUUAUUGGAUCUGUUAAAUUAAUUUUUGUCAUGUUAAUUAACAAUAAAAAUUUGAUUUUUUUAUCAGUUUUGAUGCUUGUGGGUGUAAUUUGGACAUGUUGGUAUCAUAGUUCUUUUUUGUUGAUUUAUUUAUGAUCCUAACAAAUGUUGAUUAGUGAUAUGUGUGAUGUUUAUGGUUACUGCAAAUUAUUGUGUUUUUGUGGUUAUAUUAAUUUGGUUAUUUUUGGAUGUGAAAAUAAAAACAGGUUUCUUGUGCUAGGAUCUCUGGUCCAAGUUCUGUUUCCCUUUCAAUUAAGGGAAGGAACUUUCCAUCUAUUGCUUUGCAGCCAAAAGGACGUCGGUUUCAUGUUACAUGCGCGGUAAGAUUUUAAGCCAUAAAUCUUUAUUGAGUUGUAUAAUUGAUCUUGACAUGUUUGGAUGUUGUGUAAAAUUGAAAUUGACAUGUUUGAAUUAUGUUGUGGAAAAUUGAUUUUGACAUGUUUGGUUGUUGUCAUGUAAAAUCUAUUUUGACAUGUUUGGUCAUUGUCGAAUAAAUUUGAUUUUGAAUCUAUAUAAGUAUUGAUUCUAACUUGAAGCUAGAAUUUGGAGCUUUUGCUUCUACAAUUGAAUUUUAGCUUCAAAUUUGUUGUUUAACCCUCUCUUACAUGGAUGUAUAUAAACGUAAAUCACUUUACAUUCAACUCAUUUUUAAUCACAAUCAAUUUUACAAAAUCAGUUUAUUCAAAAUCAUUUUUAUAACCGCAGAAGCAACCAUACACUUAGUUUUAUCAUCUCUAUUUCUUUCGUUAUAGUAUCUUUAUGCUUAGCCUGGGUUUUGGAUUGUUGAGAGUUCAUAUUUCGUCUUUAAUUUCUGGUAAUGAAAGUCCUUAGUUGUACCUAGUUAUCUGCAUUUCAAAAUCUCAUGUUGCUGUUAUCUGUUGAAGAUUUUCAUUUGUGUUGGAGUUAUCAAUGAUGCCUUAUGCUUAUAAUAACUAUUGGCGAUGUGCUUAGAAUUGCAGAAAACCAAAACAAAAUUAUCGGGCAGUUCUAAUGUGGACUGAUGCUGUACUUUUGUGAUAUUUAAAAUGAUAUAACAAGAAUGGACUUUAAUUUUGUGCAGGCUAAACCAGAGACUGUGCAGAAGGUGUGUGACAUUGUCAAGAAACAAUUGGCCCUGUCAGAAGAUUCAACUAUUACUGGAGAGUCUAAAUUUACUGCACUCGGAGCUGAUUCUCUUGACACGGUAUAUUUAUAUCUAUUAUCUACUGAUUCCUGUAGUGGAAAAUUGCAAAUUUGCAAUACUUAAUCAUUCGAAAAAUCUUAACUUUUCAGUUUUUGCUAUUGUUGAUUGUAUCUACUAGCCACUUGAUAUUUGAACUAUGCAUACACAUGUCUUGAUGUUAGGUAUUUUUUUUUUCCUUCCUGUUAUAGGAAGAUCAUAUACAUUAACAUUUAUAUGAUGUAAACUCUUUUUUUACAAAAUACAACAAGUGCUUAAUUAAGUUGUUUGUCCAAACAGAGUCUUGGUCUGUAUCCUGCUUGACAUGAUAAUUUUUAAAGAAGUUACUCUUACUGCUUAAUUAAGAAGUUACCAUAUACCUAUACAUCAAAGUCACACUACCCUUACUGCUUGAGCUAUUUGAUCAUAUGGCAUGCUAUAUCUGAUUAUUUGAUUCAUACCAGGAAAAUCAGAACAGUGUCUGGUUUACAUUUUACGAUCUUUUGCCCGAUUAAUUAGACUUACAUUUCAAAUUUUGUGCAGGUUGAGAUUGUGAUGGGACUUGAGGAGGAAUUUGGCAUUAGUGUGGAAGAAGAAAGUGCUCAGACCAUCACCACCGUUCAAGAAGCUGCUGACAUGAUUGACAAGCUUCUUGAGACCAAGGCUUAAGCUAGCAAAGAGGAGGCCUUACGCGUCUAUGUUGGAGUUUUUUUCUUUUCGUUAUGCGAUCUUCGGUGUUUCAGUUUGAUUGAACUUUCAUGUAACUGCUACAUAUUUUCUGGACCGUAUUAGAAUUACAAUAAUACUAGUUUUGUAGAACUUGUCUCUUUCUUUACCUAUAAAAUGAAAUUUGCUCCUAAAUCACAAGUAUUUGCUGUCAUGAGAUAUCAUGUGUUCCCUACUUCAAAAUAUUUACCUCUCAUUCUCCCAAUUCUGGCAAGAAUAGUUAUUAUAGAUUCGCAUGGCCAAAAAUAUAAUGAUUAGGAUCCAAGGCCUAAAAGAAUGGGUGCUGCUGAUCAUUGAAUUAGGUGCAAAGUAUCUGAUUAGAAUUAGGAUGCUAUCUUCUUAUUUGCAAAAAGGACUCUGGAGGUUAAUCCUACUGCUGGAUUAAAACAAUGGUCAGAUUUUGUAUUUGAUUAUGCUCUCUUGACAUAGAUCAACACUCCAGGCAAAUUUUUGGAUGAGCUGUUAGUUACGAAUUUUUUGGUGGCACUGUGAUGUUAUUCAAGCUCUGUUCAUCUUUGUUAUCACUUUAAAUUUGUCAAUUGUCAAAAUCAUGGUGGUUUGCAGUAAUUUUGGUGAACUCACUAUUAUACCGAACAUAUACUCUAAAGUGCAGCUUUUAUCCAAAGAUAAAAUUGGAAAAACGCAGGACGCAUGAGAAUGACAUAGGAUGGAAAAAGUAAUAGUCUAAUUAUAUUUCGGUCUCCCACUUUCCUUCUAUGUCUUGGUUCGUAAUCCUUUGCGGAUCUCCAUGGCUUCGGUAGAAAUGCCAUAAAAAAGAAGAUAUUAUUGUAAUUCUUUCGACAAAAAUAUACAUCAUAUAUAAGAUAAAUUUAUACACAUAUCGUGUGAAAAGAUAAAUAAAUCUAUGUACCAGAAAAAAAAAAAUUCCAACAUAUAAAAUAUUUUAAUAUCUACUCCCUGCAAUCCUUAUUAUAAGAAAUUUUUCACUUUUUAGAUUUAUUAAGCAACGAAUUGAACAACUAAUAUAUAUGAUUAAUAUUUUUUUUGGUAGUGAUAUGAUUAAUAUUAUAGACAAUAUACAUCAGUUAUUCAGUAAAUUUAAAAAAUAAAUUUAUUGUUAAAAUAGGGAUCAAAGGGAGUAAAUAUAAAGAUUAUUUAGUCAAUUAUUCUUGAUGGGUUUCCUGUACAACAAGUGUAUGAUCUUAUCCCAAACAUUCAUGUGGGGACUUUCUCCCCCUUUUGAGAAAAAACUCAUCACUCGCAGAAUCCUAAAAAGAGAAGUUUUUACGAAGAUUUUCAUUUGUUAAAACAAAUUGACAUCUCUGUUUAUGUAGAUUGAUUAAUUAAGCAUUCUGAUUUAACUUUUUUAUUUGAAAAAAUUGACUUUAAAUUUUAAUAUACACUAAAUAAAGUGUUUAGAAUGCUCUUCAAACUCUAACUUUAGUCUAUGCGAGCUUUAAUAUAUAUAUAUAUAUAUUUGUCAAAAGAAAACUAUAACAAUAUUGAAUACGGCUUAACUUACUAGCUUAAAUGACCCAUAAAAAUAGAAAAAUGUGAGUUAAAAGUGAUUUCUACAUAAAUUGAUUUGAAUAUACUUGUGGUGUAAAAUAGUGAGUUGAUCGAAAAAUUGUUUAUUUGGUUUUACGAUGAAAAAAAAGAAUUUUCACUGAAUUGAUUUUGUUUGAAAUUGACUUUAAGUUAAAAUAAUUUACGUUUAAAUAUGUUAUCAAGGAAGUGAUUGGUACAAUAUAUGUAAUAAUCACAUUUAAAUAGAAAAGUUACAUUACACAUCCUAAGUUCAAAUUAAAAUUUGUUCUCCUAUUAUAAAUUCAAUUAUAAAACCUUAAUACAAGUUUAUAAGUUAUUUAAAAAAAAAAAACAAGCUUAUGGACAUUAUCAAAGAGAGCCUCCCUAGUUUUGGUACACAACAUAAGUUAAGUAAGUAGGUUCAACAUUUCUAUCGAUUAAAUUUUUAGACUUUCUCACAAGUAAGUUAUAACAAACAAACACUCACACGUGCCAGCUUCGAAAGUAUCGAAAGGAAAGUUGGAAAAACCUCAAAACCUCAACCAAACCCAACAAACAAUGUUGUUCCUAUAAAUAUAAAUACAUUCGUCAGUGUUUUAGCAACUCAUUUCAUUUUCACUUUGUUAGCUCCGUCCUGUCCUUCCUUGUUUAGAUCUCAGAUCUCUCUCUCUCUCUCUCUCUCUCUCUCUCUCUCUCUCUACAAUGGCUUCCAUCACUUCAACCUCCAUGUCCCUCCUUUCCCUCUCCAACCAAUCUAUGGU
rnacentral:lncRNA from 1 species